GGACUACCGGGGUAUCUAAUCCUGUUUGCUCCCCACGCUUUCGCGUCUCAGCGUCAGUCACUGUCCAGAAGGCCGCCUUCGCCACCGGUGUUCCUCUCGAUAUCUACGAAUUUCACCUCUACACCGAGAAUUCCGCCUUCCUCUCCAGAACUCAAGCCCAGAAGUUUCGAAUGCACUUCCUAGGUUAAGCCCAGGGCUUUCACAUCCGACUUUCUGAGCAGCCUACACGCGCUUUACGCCCAGUAAUUCCGAACAACGUUUGCACCCUCUGUCUUACCGCGGCUGCUGGCAC
rnacentral:rRNA from 1 species